ensembl:lncRNA
UCUGACGUUUCAUGGAACAUGAGGUAUUGAUUGGAUAAUUACAUGUAAAAUUCAUUAUGUUGUUUACCCAUUUUAUGGUAAUAGGGUGCACCGAGAUAAGAACCUCAUUAAUUUUGACCAAUGGUACUUCUCAACUUUGUGCGUGUUUGCGUGUAUGUUUGCGUGUGUGUGUUUGCGUGUGUGUGUUCGCAUGUGUGAGUGUGUUUGAGUGUUCUCGCAUGGGUGUGUGGGUGGGUGCGUGUGUAACACUCUGGUGACAUUUUCACUUAUCUAUAAAUAAUUUGAAUCCAUGGAUAUCUGAAUAAUGUGGACUUCUGUCAAGCUGGUUGGGUACACUCUAUAAAUAGCAAUUGCUGUGGGGCAAUGUGACUUCCUAUGAUUUUAUUAAUGAGAGCAGAGGUAGUUAAACAUCUUGAUAGGUGGGCUGAAUGUGUUGACGAGAGAAAGUGAGAGGAAAUGAUUCCCGUAGGAGGAUUUUGUUACUGCCAGAUCACUGCAGGUUUUAAAGUCAUUCUGUGUUCACAGUUUCAAAGUAAAUACUCAUGUUGUUUCCUCUCAACUCUUUGGUGGGAUAUUUCCCCACAUUCUUUGUGUUAUGAACUCAUUGUUGGAAAUAGAAGACAUAUUGUAGCUAAGUUUGAAAUGCACUAGUCAAAGUUCAAAGUUUGAAUGAAGUUGAAAAACUGUAAUAAGAAGGAGCGCUACAAUAACUCAAUGUCUGCAAUACGUAUGCCAACAAUAUCCACAUACCGUUCUGCAUGUCUAACUUUUGGAAAGGUUGAUCAAGUCUAACAAGUGCCUGAUGCCCAAAAGUUCUGAAAUAAUGAGUUAAAUCUAUUCCCAUCAAUAUUAAACACAGGUAAUGUAUUGGGACUGCUUGGUUUGGCGAAGCAGACAAGAGCCAGGGCAGAUCAAAGAGUGCAGAUGGUGCUGUCUGCAGCCAGUGGAAAAGAUAAUUCUGAGGGCUGAGCAAAGAAACACUAAAGAUGUGUCAACAAUACCAGCAUCCCUAGUAGAAAGAUAGGGAGUCCUACCAAUGAAUAUGAAUUGAUUUAAAUAGAGC